ensembl:lncRNA
CUGCCGAGUAUUUACAAACAAUCUUUAAUUUCAAGUGAAAUAUACUUUAAUGACAUCUAUAUUGAAACUUGUACUUUUGUCUUUCAGGCCCAAACUUAGCAAGACAAAAGGCGACAGAGGCAAGGAACCAAACUCCAUCAGAUGACAGAAAUAGAGAAAAAUGUGAAAGUUUCAUUGAAUGAAAAGUUGGGGAUUGAAACAUUGGGGACAUGCUAAUCCCGUUCACUGAUGUCUGUCUAUUUCACAUAAAUCAGACACUAAUCUUAUAAGACAGUAAUCUCAGAUGUGAAUAAAUACAGGCUUUUAUGAAAGACCAUGUCUCCCACCUGUCUGAUAAGGCUUGAUUUAUUUCUUACACAUGAUGGGAUCGACUCUUGUUUUGACAGAUUCUCCCAGUAUCAAAAAACAACCCCUGCUGAAACCCUCCAAAACGCCUAACAUUUGUGGAUGACUUUCAGUUGUCUUAGUAUCACAGAGCACUUGUUAAUUAAAACAAGGCCUCUGCAGUCUUGACCUGUGAUGGGUAUUGAAGGGAGAGGACUCAAAUGCGAGAACAAAAUGACAGUCUUUAAUCAAACAAAGGAAAGCCACAGGAAAAUCCAAAUAAGGAGUACAAAAGGUGAAAACCAAGGCAGACCCGCAGGCUGGGUAUAAGUAACACAGGAGACCUCUGUGGCUGGAACCACCAGCAGGCUGGCGAGGCGGAGGCUUGACCGGGCUCAGGGGAGAUCCGGGGAACGGAGCUCGCAGAGCGGGGAGGCCGCGGCGUUGGACAGCAGGUAGGGCGCUGCCAUCAAGGGCAAAUAAAAGGGUGGAGUCUCUUAGCGGUGUGAGCGGAAUACCUUGUUGGAGCGCCCACUUCUCAUCCACAAAGUUUCCCUCGGCCCCAGAAUCGAUCAAGGCCGCACAGGAGGCUGACGACCCCGCCCACUGGAGAUGCGCUGGAAGUGUCGUGCAGGAAGUGGAAGGGAUAGUGUUAGUGGUAGCGCUCGCCAGUAACCCUCCUCCUACUGGCGAGCGUUGGCUUUUACCGGACAGGAAGACACAAAGUGAGAGGCACUAGCACAGUACAUACAGAGGCGGUUCUGAAUCCUCCUCUGACGCUCCUUAGAAGAAAUACGCAGGCCACCCAGCUGCAUAGGUUCAGGUUCAGAGUGGGAGGGGCUGACACGAGGUGACGAGAAAAGACUCUCCUCCAGGCGAUGAGCACGACGGCGUUGGUCAAACCGUCUCUCCACACGGAUGGCCAGGUCGAUUAGAUCGUCGAGCCGGGUAGGGAUCUCACGGACGAGGACCUCGUCCCGCACCUCAGGAGACAAGCCCUCCAGGAAGCGAGCGGUCAGGGCGGGUUGAUUCCACCCGCAGGUGGUAGCGAGGGUCCGGAAUUCAAUGGAGAAAUCCGGCACGGAUCGUCUCCCCUGCCGAAGUGUGGAAAGCCGACGGGAAGCCUCCUCUCCAUAGGCGGAGCGGUCGAAGACCCGGAUCAUCUCCUCCUUAAAACGCUCAAAGCUUGAGAUGCACUCCGCCUCAGUCUCCCAGUUGGCCGUUCCCCACUCGCGAGCUCGCCCGUGGAGGAGUGAAAGAACAAAAGCAACCUUGGCUCUCUCCUUAGCAUAUGUGAAGGGCUGGAGCGAGAAGACCACCUCGCACUGAGUAAGGAAGGCGCGGCACUGUGUUGGCUCACCCGAAUAGGCCGGAGGAUUAUUUAUCCGAGGCUCCGUCUGAACAGGAGGACACUGAGAGGCGGACGGCUGGAGGCGGAGGUUGUAAACCUGGCUGGACAGCUCGGACAUCUGGGCGGCCAAAGAACCGACGGCGUGUCGGGUAGCAGAGAUGUCCUCCUCAUGCCUCCCGAGGAGGACGCCCUGGUGCUCAACGGCGGUCUGGAACGGGCUGCCACUCGCUGAGUCCAUCAUCUUGGUCAGAUUGUUCUGUGAUGGGUAUUGAAGGGAGAGGACUCAAAUGCGAGGGCAAAAUGACAGUCUUUAAUCAAACAAAGGAAAGCCACAGGAAAAUCCAAAUAAGGAGUACAAAAGGUGAAAACCAAGGCAGACCCGCAGGCUGGGUAUAAGUAACACAGGAGACCUCUGUGGCUGGAACCACCAGCAGGCUGGCGAGGCGGAGGCUUGACCGGGCUCAGGGGAGAUCCGGGGAACGGAGCUCGCAGAGCGGGGAGGCCGCGGCGUUGGACAGCAGGUAAGGUUCUGUGGGGUGCAAAGGGGUGAGCACAGAGACGAACGGGCAGGGAUAGCAGAUGACUAACCUAACCCCGACUAGACCGGACAGGACAGGACAAUACUAAUCUCUUGUGCAGACGGCAACAGCUUCAUUAGGAGAUAACAAUCUGACAAAGAGACACGAGAACGAGAGGGUAGAAGUAGCCCAGAUAACAAGGCAAUAUGAGAAGCAGGUGGAGGGGAAAUUAUCUUAAUGAGAAGUGAAGUCAGCUGUGACACAGAAGCGAAGAGCGGGAGAGACAGGAGAGGAGAAACCAGCAGGGGGAGACAGAGAGAGAAAAAGAGAGAGAUAGAGACAGGAUCAUGACAAGACCAUGACAUGACCGUGUCUCCCACCAAACCUUCUGUUCCCCUUCAGAAGGACCCCCCACUGUUGUUUAUUUCUUCUGGAUUUUUAUUUAUAUCGCCACAUACUAAAGGAGGUGAAGCUGACAGGGCAGAAGACAUCCUCCGCAUACUAGGAAACAGCUGAACCUUGAACACCGAGCCACAUGUGCCCUCCAGAAAGCGCAGCCAUCAUUGCGCGAUCACCGUGAUCAAACAUGACGUCAAAGAGCAGGUGCUAAUGGAAGCCAGUUAUUGGGGUAAGUGGCAGAUCAUGCAGCGAUCGAGGUGCUGAAGGCACAGCAAGCACGCAGCGCUGUGAAUAACUCUCCGGGUAAUUAAUGAGGGGAGGCCGGCAUCCCCUUACAGACGGGCACAAACUGGAAGCCUGAACCGCAUUCCAACACCUACUCGCUCUCACAUCUGUCCUGCAUGUAUUGAUAUUUGAUAUUUAUAUGGCCAAAAAGUAAGAUAAAAUUCUGAUAGCUUAUGUAAAUCAAUUAAAUAUUUAUAACAGUAUAGCAGACUACUUAAAUCAAAUGCACAUACAUAAAUAUCAGUCUACAUCACACCAAAAUAUGUAGACUAUCUACUAACUCUCAUUAGAGCCUUAGUGCAGUAUUAGUAGACUUGUAGGGUUAGGGUUAGAAUAAUUUGACAUGUACUUGCAAAGUUACUUUUAGCCAGUAGAAUGUCUGUUAGGAGACCAACACAAUAAAGAGUUAGCAGAUAUUAAGCAGAUAGUCUACUUGUACUCUAAUAAGAGUUAGUUGACAUGUAGGUGGAAAGUUCAAAAGGGACCAUCAAAAUAAAGUGUUACCAUUUAUACAUUCAUUCAUUCAUUCAUUCAUGCAUUCGUUCAUUGAUUCAUUCAUUCAUUCAUUCAUUUACUGUUGUUGUUAUUGUUAAUACAUGGCUUCAUUUUAUUAAUUUACAGUACAUUAUAAAUGAAUUUUAAUACAUGUAUUUGUUUGUGUGUGUGUGUGUGUGUGUGUGUGUGUGUGUAUACACAUGCAUAAUUAUAUUUAAGAAAAAUGUUAUGUUUAUAUAUUAAAUAUAUUUAUAUAUGAUAUAAUUUAUAUGAAUAUAAAUAUAUACAUGUAAAUACAUGUAAAUAUUUUCAAAAUAUAUGCUGUAUGUGUGUGUCUUUAUAUAUACAUAAUAAAUAUACACAAUACACACACAUAUAUUAUGUAAACAAAAACUUUUAUUUUGGAUGCGAUUAAUCAUGAUUAAUCAUUUGACAGCACUAAUAUAUAUAUAUAUUAGUGCUGUCAAAUGAUUAAUCAUAAUUAAUCACAUCCAAAAUAAAAGUUUUUAUUACAUUUAUUAUAAAUAUAUUUGAUUCAUUUAAGUAUAUAUAGUUAGGAUUAAUUGUUUCAAUUAAAAAAAAAAAAAAAAAAAACUUCUACCAGGUUAAAUAGUUCAUUAUGGUGCGUUCAAAGGUGUAUUGGCUAUUUAAUUUUGAACACAACU